AGACCAUGAUGCGGGCAUUUUCUUAAUAGGUCCUUGAAUCUUUCCCAAGUUUCAUAUAAGGAUUCCUCGUCCUCUUGUGAGGUGUUAAUUUCAGUCAUUAAUUU
rfam:Helianthus annuus linkage group 16, whole genome shotgun sequence.